rnacentral:lncRNA from 13 species
AUGGAGCGGGGACAAAAGGCCAGCAGGAAUUCCAGCCUCACGGGAAAAUCCUCCCAGCACUGGAGGACCAGCACGGGCUUUAUCAGGUGCCUGGGCCGCCCUGCCGCCCUGCAGCCCUGCAAGAUGCCAGCAUGCCCAGUUUUCCAAGCAGCUUCAGCUUUCCUUGUUAACCCUGGCAGAGACUGGAGUGAGGAGGAGCCACUGGACCAUUUCUCUGCUCCGAGACGGGCGCGGUGCCAGGCGCCAGAGCCUCCUGGCUGCCAGGAGCAGCAGGUCCUGGCAGGGAACGGGAUGGAGCCGCUGGCCCAGCACGGAGCGGGCACCGCAGCAACCUCGGAGCUCCUCUCCUCCAUCCCUGGCUGCCGUCUGUGCCUCUCCCCUCCCAGGGCUGGCGAGUUCCUCCAGGGCUGCUCCAGGCAGGCGUCUCCAGGAAAGCCGCUCUGCAUUGACUUCCAAAUGAGAGUAAUUAAAGCAAAUGAGGCCUUCGCAGGGAAGAGAGCUCCCGGCUGGAUGAUGCUCUCGGCUCAAGCCAGAAAUGAGAAAAGGGAAAAUAUAAAAGAACACAAAAAUGCCCCAAUUCUUUCAAGAUUGCUCCCGGGUAAUUUCCACCCUCAUCUACAGAUUUGGUGCAUCAGUAAAAAAAAUAUAAACUGUGUAUCUCCUGCGGAACACAGGGGGAUUUUCCUUUGUCCACGUGCCUUGGGCACUGACCUGGGGAUGUGGGGAGGAUUUCCUCGGGCUCUGGUGGCUUUGAAAGCCCCGUUGUUCCUUCACAGGGAUCCUUUAUGCUGA